rnacentral:rRNA from 1 species
GGCCAUGUUGGUUAACAGAUCCUCAUUUGCUGGACGGCUGGCGAUGAUCUUUAUCGAUUGUCGUCAGUUGCCAGAACGUUUACUUUGAGAAAAUUAGAGUGCUAAAAGCAGGCUCACGCUUAUAUAUAUUGCAUGGAAUAAUGAAAUAAGAUCUCGAUUUUAUUUCGUUGGUUUUAGAAAUUGAGAUAAUGAUUAAUAGGAUCAGAGGGGGGCGUACGUACUGUGGUGUGAGAGGUGAAAUUCUUGGAUCGCCACAGGACGAACAGCAGCGAAGGCGUUCGCCAAGAAUGUUUUCAUUAAUCAAGAACGAAAGUUUGAGGUUCGAAGACGAUUAGAUACCGUCCUAGUUCAAACCAUAAACGUUGCCAACUGUCUUUUAGAUGCGGUUAUUUAUAUGACUCAUCUGGCGGAUCUCGAGAAAUCUAAGUUUUUAGGUUCCGGGGGAAGUAUGGUUGCAAAGCUGAAACUUAAAAGAAUUGACGGAAGGACACACAAGAAGUGGAGCCUGUGGCUUAAUUUGACUCAACACGGGAAAACUCACCCGGUCCGGACACCGUAAGGAUUGACAGACUGAUAGCUCUUUCUUGAUUCGGUGGUUGGUGGUGCAUGGGCCGUUCUUAGUUGGUGGAGUAAUUUGUCUGGUUUAUUCCGAUAACGAGCGAGACUCUAGCCUGCUAAAUAGAACGAGGAUAAACCUUUUCAUAGGUCCUCGAUGCUUCUUAGAGGAAUUAGCGG